UUAGAAGCCGAAAGGCUACUUAAAACCAUCGCGAACUCGUCCAAGGUUGCUUCGGCGGCGCGGCCCUCCCUCACGGGGGCGCCGCAGCCCCGCCUCUCCGGAGGUGUGGGGCGCCCGCCGGAGGUACGAAACUCUGUAUUAUAGUGGCAUCUCUGAGUAAAAAACAAAUAAGUUA
rnacentral:misc_RNA from 1 species